rnacentral:misc_RNA from 1 species
GCAAAUAACAAGAGUCUGCCAGUAGCUCCCUUGAACAAUUACCUCGUUACAAAGUCACAUGACAGUAAAUUCUCUCAAGAGGAAUCGAUUUAUUUUGAUAAUUCAACAAAUUUUCACCGGGGUUCACAGAAGCAUGAUAUAUAUGCUUCAAAAGGAUCACUUCACAGGAGUAAGUCUUACGCAAGCAGUCAAUCCAGCUUAAAGUCCUGUGGGUUAACAGAAGGUGACGCUUGGAAGGUUAAUUGCCGGAUGUAUUCACCUAACCCAAGUUCGUCUUCUAGUGAAAUUAUUGUCAGACUGUGUAGAUAUCUACCAAAUUCACUGAUGAAUGACAUUCCUAAUGAUUCUUGGUCUAGUGCUUUUGCCCUUGUGCCACCUACUGGUUCUAGCAGUGUAACAGUCCCACAACCAUCCAAAAAAUCUGGUUAUGUAAUUUCUGUUUGUGCUGUUGCAGCACCAUUUUUUGGCAGGACAAAAAUCAUUA